AAUAGAAAACGAAGAGAAAUCGUAGGUAAAACGUACAAAGGCGUUCGUCAGAACGAGAACAUAUCCGCGAUCAUUUUCUUGUUGGACGGUUAAAGGGACUAUUACCUUAGAUAUCAACCUCAGGAAUUGAAGAAUUCGGCCUUUGAAUAAUAAGAUAUACCCAUAAUUAAGCGAUACAAGCGGCUACACCGUCAAGUUGGGUGUUUUUGUACAUAUUUUCGGGGUCGGAACAUUGUUUACAUUGUAAACAAUAUCACGCUCGGUUGCUUACGGAGAAAGCCGAAAAGGUCACAUGGCUUGUCACGUGACGCAGUUAUUUACAUCCGUCGCAAAGAAAAAAUGGAUUACGAGACUCCAUCACCAGCUUCGCAAGGAACAAGUUCAAGUUUAGACAGUCCUGUCAGAGCUAGGGGAAGAGGGCGAGGCCGUUCACGUGCUAGGGGAUGAGGCAUAGGUCGUAGCACUGAUAGAUCUAGAACUGGCACAGCACGAGGGAGAAGAGUUGGUGGAAGAGGAGCCCGUGGAAGACAUCAGGGCCAGGAAAGUGACAGGGCAGAAAAUGCAGCAACCAGCUUGCAAGCCAGAAGAUAAAUAUUGAAAACAAGAAUUGAUGAAAUGUCACAUGAAGAGACUAAGUAUAUUUUGCAUCAGACAGCACAGCAGUUUCCUUCUUUGAUUUUUGACUUGGUCAAAGACAGUAGUGGAAACAUUGGAGGUUACCAUCCCAGACCAGAUGGAAACAUGUACAGUCCAGAUUGGUGUUUGUGGUAACUGCAGAGAAAUGCCUACACAACCAGAGAAGCUCUGCUGCAAGAAAGAUCUACCAAAUUGUAUAACUUUGCUUCCGAUAAGAUUGUCUUCAAUUG